GACGUAGGGCGCGAGCGUUGUCCGGAUUUAUUGGGCGUAAAGAGCUCGUAGGCGGCUUGUCGCGUCGAAUGUGAAAUCUCAGGGCUCAACUCUGACAUUGCAUUCGAUACGGGCAGGCUAGAGUUCGGUAGGGGAGACUGGAAUUCCUGGUGUAGCGGUGAAAUGCGCAGAUAUCAGGAGGAACACCGGUGGCGAAGGCGGGUCUCUGGGCCGAUACUGACGCUGAGGAGCGAAAGCGUGGGGAGCGAACAGG
rnacentral:rRNA from 3 species